AGAUCGUACGUUAAGGUCCCUAAGCAAUCACUUAGUGGAAAAGGAAGUGAUCGAGCGAUGAUAACCAGGAGGUGGGCUUGGAAGCAGCCAUCCUUCAAAGAAAGCGUAAUAUCUCACUGGUCUAGCUCCAUGGCACCGAAAAUGUCUCAGGGCUCAAGUGAUUCACCGAAGUGAUGAGACCUUGAAAGCAACUUUUUCAAG
rfam:Triticum aestivum genome assembly, contig: Triticum_aestivum_CS42_TGACv1_scaffold_578353_7BL